rnacentral:rRNA from 1 species
AUGGCGAGCCAGGGCCGACGAUUUGGCAUGGAUGCGGACUGCGACAGGGCGACCCCGUGUCGCCACAACUCUUCGUGCUCGCCGUGGACACCCUCGGGCGCCUCAUCCGCCGUGCACACGAGUCCGGCAUCCUGCAACAGCUGCACCCCCGACGAGCCAUCCCGACCAUCUCCUUAUACACCGAUGAUGUGA